UACGGGGGGAGCAAGCGUUGUUCGGAUUUACUGGGCGUAAAGGGCGGGUAGGCGGCCACCGCAAGUCAGUUGUGAAAUCUCUGGGCUUAACCCAGAAAGGUCAACUGAUACUGCGGGGCUAGAGUGCAGAAGGGGCAACUGGAAUUCUCGGUGUAGCGGUGAAAUGCGUAGAUAUCGAGAGGAACACCGGUGGCGAAGGCGGCUUUCUGGACGGUUACUGACGCUGAGACGCGAAAGCGUGGGGAGCAAACAGG
rnacentral:rRNA from 1 species